UACGAAGGGGGCUAGCGUUGUUCGGAAUCACUGGGCGUAAAGCGCACGUAGGCGGAUCUUUAAGUCAGGGGUGAAAUCCCGAGGCUCAACCUCGGAACUGCCUUUGAUACUGGGGAUCUCGAGUCCGGGAGAGGCGAGUGGAACUGCGAGUGUAGAGGUGAAAUUCGUAGAUAUUCGCAAGAACACCAGUGGCGAAGGCGGCUCACUGGCCCGGAACUGACGCUGAGGUGCGAAAGCGUGGGGAGCAAACAGG
rnacentral:rRNA from 1 species